CCUCUGUAGUUCAGUCGGUAGAACGGCGGACUGUUAAUCCGUAUGUCACUGGUUCGAGUCCAGUCAGAGG
rnacentral:tRNA from 30 species